CUUCCUUUCUGUCCCUUCCCUACAUGAGCUAUCAAAUGCUUAGUUUUUAACUCAAACUCGUUGCUAUAUGUAUCUAAAUGGAAUUUACCUCCUCUUCUUUCACUUGCACCCUCAUUCUCUCUUUCUUGCACUCCAGAUAUAUGUUUUAAGAUGUGAAUGCCUCUAUUUCUUGAUUCAUGAGAGUUUUCAGAUGUGAAACUUGUUAAGGUUAGAACACAUAACAAGAUUAUGAAACAAGGAAGGAAACCAGUAGUUAUGUUCAUUGGAUGGAGCUAAAUGACUUUGCUGGUCUGUGUGGUUUUCUCCUUUCUAUGUGGCCAGUUGCAAAAAGAGACAGAAAACAGAAUAUUGUUGGGAAGUGGUGUACAAGUGUUUAUGAAUAAGCUUUUUUUUUUGGAACCCCAAAAUAAUCCGCAGCCGCUACCACAGCCUCUGUGGGUGAGCACUUUGCGCACACUGGGUAAACCACCACUGUGUGGUGUAAUAGCCUGCAAACCACUAAACCGCACUAGGCAAGCCCUCGGCUCGACUCAGAAGGCAUUAAGAGGGGAUCGAUCCCGGGUCAUCCGUGUGGAUGACCACC
rnacentral:lncRNA from 1 species